GGGUGAUUAGCUCACUGGUAGAGCGAAUGGCUGUUAACCAUUGCGUAGCGGGUUCGAUUCCCGCAUUGCCCGCCA
rnacentral:tRNA from 1 species